CUUGAUUUCCAUAGGAGGUCUAGCCUGCCCAGUGACAAAGUUAAACGGCCGCGGUACCCUAACCGUGCAAAGGUAGCGCAAUCACUUGUUCUUUAAAUGAGGACUAGUAUGAACGGCAUCACGAGGGUUAUGCUGUCUCCCUACUUUAUUCAGUGAAACUGAUCUCCCCGUGAAGAAGCGGGGAUAAAAAUAUAAGACGAGAAGACCCCAUGGAGCUUUAAACUCAGUAUCAACUGCCACAAUUAAAACCUAAUACUUAAGCAAUUUCUGACUACUAGUUUUCGGUUGGGGUGACCACGGAGUAAAACUUAACCUCCAUGAUGAAAGGAAAUAACAACCUAAAUUAAGAGCUACAACUCUAAAUAUCAACAAAUUGACUAAAUUGACCCAAUUAAUUGAUCAACGAACCA
rnacentral:rRNA from 1 species